UACAGAGGAGCCAAGCGUUGUCCGGAUUGACUGGGCGUAAAGCGCACGCAGGCGGAUGCGCGCGUGGGGUGUGAAAUCUGGCCGCUUAACGGCCAGGCGCCAUCCCAUACGGCGCGUCUGGAGUGACGCAGAGGUCGAUGGAAUUGCCGGUGUAGUGGUGAAAUGCGUAGAGAUCGGCAGGAACACCCAGGGGGAAACCAGUCGACUGGGCAUCAACUGACGCUGAGGUGCGAGAGCGUGGGGAGCAAACAGG
rnacentral:rRNA from 1 species